rnacentral:lncRNA from 1 species
GACAGAAUUUGGACAGGAAACUAAAUCCACUUAUGAAAUGUUUCCUUUCUGCUUCUAAUUCUCAGGUGUCCUACAUUAGUCAAGACUGUGAAGAAAUUCCAGAAUUCCUAGGACGAAAAUAUGGACAUAUGGCAAAAAGGCUAGAUCUUAGCUUCAACUUGUUAAGUUCUUCUCAAAUCAUUCCUGUGCUGCCUGACUGCUACCUUGGAUGA